rnacentral:lncRNA from 1 species
AUUUAUAAACUAAAAUUCAAAGACACAAACCAAAAUUUCAAUUCAUAUCCUCAAGGUUCAACGCAUAUCCACAAAAGUUCAAGUCAAAUUAUAAAAUUUCAAUAUAUAAACUAAAAUUCCAAUACAUAAACCAAAAUUUCAAUUCAUAUCCUAAAGGUUCAAUGCAUAUCCACAAAAGUUCAAGUCAAAUCCUAAAAUUUCAAUUUAUAAACUAAAAUUCCAAUACAUAAACUAAAAUUUCAAUUCAUAUCCUAAAGGUUCAACUCAUAUCCACAAAAGUUCAAGUCAAAUCCUAAAAUUUCAAUUUAUAAGGUAAAAUUCCAAUACACAAAUGAAACUUUCAAUUCAUAUCCUAAAGUUUCAACUCAUAUCCACAAACGUUCAAGUCAAAUUCCAAAACUUCAAUUUAUAAACUAAAAUUCAAAGACACAAACAAAAGUUUCAAUUCAUAUCCUAAAGGUUCAACUCAUUCGACAAAAGUUCAAGUCAAAUCCUAAUAUUUCAAUUUAUAAACUAAAAUUCCAAUACACAAACCAAAAUUUCAAUUCAUAUCCUAAAGGUUCAACUCAUAUCCACAAAAGUUCAAGUCAAAUUCUAAAACUUCAAUUUAUAAACUAAAAUUCAAAGACACAAACCAAAAUUUCAAUUCAUAUCCUCAAGGUUCAACGCAUAUCCACAAAAGUUCAAGUCAAAUUCUAAAAAUUUCAAUUUAUAAACUAAAAUUCCAAUACAUAAACCAAAAUUUCAAUUCAUAUCCUAAAGGUUCAACUCAUAUCCACAAAAGUUCAAGUCAAAUCCUAAAAUUUCAAUUUAUAAACUAAAAUUCCAAUACAUAAAGAAAAAUUUCAAUUCAUGUCCACAAAAGUUCAACUCAAAUCCUAAAAUUUUAAUUUAUAAACUAAAAUUCCAAUACACAAACCAAAAUUUUAAUUCAUGUCCUAAAGGUUCAACUCAUAUCCACAAAAGUUCAAGUCAAAUCCUAAAAUGUCAAUUUAUAAACUAAAAUUCCAAUACAUAAACCAAAAUUUCAAUUCAUAUCCUAAAGGUUCAACUCAUAUCCACAAAAGUUCAAGUCAAAUUCUAGAACUUCAAUUUAUAAACUAAAAUUCUAAGACAAACCAAAAUUUCUAUUCAUAUCCUAAAGGUUCAACUCAUAUCCACAAAAGUUCAAGUCAAAUCCUAAAAUUUCAAUUUGUAAAGAAAAUUCCAAUACACAAACCAAAAAUUCAAUUCAUAUCCUAAAGGUUCAACUGAUAUCCACAAAAGUUCAAGUCAAAUCCUUAAAUUUCAAUUUAUAAACUAAAGUUCCAAUACACAAACCAAAAUUUCAAUUCAUAUACACAAGUUCCAACGCAUAUCCACAAAAGUUCAAGUCAAAUUGUAAAACUUUAAUUUAUAAACUAAAAUUCCAAGACAUAAACCAAAAUUUCAAUUCAUAUCCUAAAGGUUCAACUUAUAUCCACAAAAGUUCAAGUCAUAUUCUAAAAUUUCUAUUUUGUCAGGACCCAAAUCC